GCUCAGCCUGCAGUGCCGAGUGACACAGCCAGGAGACAUAGUCACCGAGCACUAACUUCUAUUAAAUGCAAGCAGACUGUGAGAACCCUAUUGGAACCGCGUCAGGACGUGAGAGAAGCAAAGGAGCCCAACCUCAUCAGUAUCUUUCCUUCGGGCAAAGUGACAAGGCUGGAUAUAGUCAAUGACUCAAGUGAAUUUGAUUGCGUAAGAGAUGAAUGAUCAGUUUAUCCAGUGACUCACCAAGGUGUGUCCCAACCAAAGUCCACAAUUAUUUUGGCUCCUCACAUUCAAAGCGGAAUGUUCUGAGAAUCUGGAUGAUCUCUCGCUGAGUGUCUGGGCCACAACUCUCCCAGUGGUAGGGCCCUAAGUCCCAC